rnacentral:lncRNA from 1 species
AUAUUGGGACCAAAGUACUGCUUAGAAAGCCAAGGUUUGGCAUGACGGUGGACUGUGCUGAGCUGUGGCAGCGGACAACUUCAUCUCAAAAGGAACUGGAUCAGACAAACAUCCAGAUUCUUAAAGAACACACUUCACUAAACUCCUGCUCACUUUGGUCCAGUCAUUAUCAUCUUCUGCGUCCACCAAGGAGCUCAGUUUGAAGAGCUGCAAUGCUGAAAUUCACUGGAUUGAUGGCUGGCUCACAUACCUAUAGUAGCCUGCAAGAAUUUUAGAAAAGAGAAUUCCCUAGAAUAUCUGCUUUGGGGCAAGGAGAGGAACAGCAGACGUUCUACCAGG